rnacentral:miRNA from 1 species
AUACUCAUCGAAUUUGUCAUA